rnacentral:rRNA from 1 species
CCUACGGGAGGCAGCAGUGGGGAAUAUUGCACAAUGGGGGAAACCCUGAUGCAGCAACGCCGCGUGAGUGAAGAAGUAUUUCGGUAUGUAAAGCUCUAUCAGCAGGGAAGAAAAUGACAGUACCUGACUAAGAAGCCCCGGCUAACUACGUGCCAGCAGCCGCGGUAAUACGUAGGGGGCAAGCGUUAUCCGGAUUUACUGGGUGUAAAGGGAGCGUAGACGGCUGCGCAAGUCAGAAGUGAAAGCCCGGGGCCCAACCCCGGGACUGCUCUUGGAACGGCGCGGCUGGAGUGCAGGAGGGGCAGGCGGAAUGCCUGGUGUAGCGGUGAAAUGCGUAGAUAUCAGGAGGAACACCGGUGGCGAAGGCGGCCUGCUGGACUGCGACUGACGUUGAGGCCCGAAAGCGUGGGGAGCAAACAGGAUUAGAUACCCGGGUAGUC